rnacentral:rRNA from 1 species
GAGCGCUGUAGCAAUACAGAGCGGCGCACGGGAGAGUAAUACGUGGGAACUUCCCUUUUGGUUCGGAAUAACGUCGGGAAACUGACGCUAAUACCGGAUAAGCCCUUCGGGGGAAAGAUUUAUCGCCGAAAGAUGGGCCCACGUUGGAUUAGCUAGUUGGUGAGGUAACGGCUCACCAAGGCUACGAUCCAUAGCUGGUCUGAGAGGAUGAUCAGCCUCACUGGGACUGAGACACGGCCCAGACUCCUACGGGAGGCAGCAGUGGGGAAUAUUGGACAAUGGGCGCAAGCCUGAUCCAGCCAUGCCGCGUGAGUGAUGAAGGCCUUCGGGUUGUAAAGCUCUUUUGGCGGGGACGAUGAUGACGGUACCCGCAGAAUAAGCUCCGGCUAACUUCGUG